CCCAAACCUUGUUUGAUGGAUUGGGAGCGCUACUGGAACAGUAGGAAACGGCUCUUCCUGCUUAGUAUGGGAAAUCCUGACAGCCUGUUCCCCAUGGCUCUUCUGGUUCAGCUGCAGAGCCUCAGUGCAUGAGCUCCUGGUCUGCCCAGGGGCUGCAUUUCUGUAGAUGGGAAUGGAACUUGCUGUUGGCCGAAUUCACUGCUGUUGCAAACUGAUGGCUGAGGUGCUGAGGGUCCGUGGCUCGGACAGGAAGGGAAGCGGCCGAGCUGCUCUGCAGGGAGCUGGGAACUCAGCUCUUGGCUCCUGCAGGGACUCCCAGCCUGGCUGCAGGUGGGAAUAAUUCCCAUUUUCCCCUCUGUGAUGGGCAGUCACCUUUCCUGGCCCCUAAAGCUCUGCUCUGUGCCCAGAAUUUGCUGUCUGUUCCUCACUGGGACACGGCUGAUUUUGGGGAGCAGCCCCAGCUGACAGCUUCACCCCAUUCUGUACUGCAAAUUCUGAUGGCAACCAUUUACCCAGCAAAGCCAGGGGACACUUUGUGCUCCCUGUGGAUGGUGGCAAUCCCAGGGAAGGGCCAGCCAUGUGGGAAGAUGGAAUACCUGGAGCUGUGCUGCCAGCAUGGAGGGGAUGUAAGCUGGGUUCCUGCGAGUGGUGAUGAAUUUCUGAGUGGCUGAAUUUAGGAGUUGUCUGGGCAAGGAUCUCCUGUUGGGGCAUCGGUUUGUUGCUUAAAAGUCCAUGGACAAUGUGGGGUCCUCACCUCUGCCUUCCUCUCUGGGGACAGAUCUACCAUCAAAGCCCCGAGAUUAGGAAGGCUCUUACCUCUUGAGGGCUCCAUCAGUGAGCAGCGUCCCCUUCUCGUUCCUCACCUCCAGUUUCAAGAGUUUGCCCUCCUGCCUGCCCUGGCC